rnacentral:rRNA from 1 species
UACGGAGGAUCCGAGCGUUAUCCGGAUUUAUUGGGUUUAAAGGGUGCGCAGGCGGGAGAUUAAGUCGGCGGUGAAAUUUUGCGGCUCAACUGUAAAAGUGCCUUCGAAACUGGUUUCCUUGAGUGUAGAUGAAGUAGGCGGAAUUUGUGGUGUAGCGGUGAAAUGCAUAGAUAUCACGAGGAACUCCGAUUGCGCAGGCAGCUUACUAGACUACUACUGACGCUCAGGCACGAAGGCGUGGGGAUCAAACAGGAUUAGAUACCCGGGUAGUCCCU